GGUGGCUCAGUGGUAGAGUACUUGCCUCUCAUGCAUGGGGCCCUGGGUUCAAUUCCUCAGCACCA
rfam:Dipodomys ordii contig_32652, whole genome shotgun sequence.